AACGAACGCUGGCGGCAUGCCUAACACAUGCAAGUCGAACGAUGGUCUUCGGAUCAUAGUGGCGCACGGGUGCGUAACGCGUGGGAAUCUGCCCUUGGGUUCGGAAUAACAGUUGGAAACGACUGCUAAUACCGGAUGAUGUCGAUAAGACCAAAGAUUUAUCGCCAGAGGAUGAGCCCGCGUCGGAUUAGCUAGUUGGUGGGGUAAAGGCCUACCAAGGCGACGAUCCGUAGCUGGUCUGAGAGGAUGAUCAGCCACACUGGGACUGAGACACGGCCCAGACUCCUACGGGAGGCAGGAGUGGGGAAUAUUGGACAAUGGGCGCAAGCCUGAUCCAGCAAUGCCGCGUGAGAGAUGAAGGCCGUAGGGUUGUAAAGCUCUUUUACCCGGGAAGAUAAUGACUGUACCGGGAGAAUAAGCCCCGGCUAACUCCGUG
rnacentral:rRNA from 1 species